rnacentral:rRNA from 1 species
UUACACAUGCAGUCGAGCGCUCUAGCAAGGGGAGCGGCAGACGGGUGAGUAACGCGUGGGAAUCUACCCUUUUCUACGGAAUAACGCAGGGAAACUUGUGCUAAUACCGUAUGAGCCCUUCGGGGGAAAGAUUUAUCGGGAAAGGAUGAGCCCGCGUUGGAUUAGCUAGUUGGUGGGGUAAAGGCCUACCAAGGCGACGAUCCAUAGCUGGUCUGAGAGGAUGAUCAGCCACAUUGGGACUGAGACACGGCCCAAACUCCUACGGGAGGCAGCAGUGGGGAAUAUUGGACAAUGGGCGCAAGCCUGAUUCAGCCAUGCCGCGUGAGUGAUGAAGGCCCUAGGGUUGUAAAGCUCUUUCACCGGUGAAGAUAAUGACGGUACCGGAGAAGAAGCCCCGGCUAACUUCGUGCCACCCAGCCAGCAGCCGCGGUAAUACGAAGGGGGCUAGCGUUGUUCGGAAUUACUGGGCGUAAAGCGCACGUAGGCGGAUUGUUAAGUGAGGGGUGAAAUCCCAGGGCUCAACCCUGGAACUGCCUUUCAUACUGGCAAUCUAGAGUCCAGAAGAGGUGAGUGGAAUUCCGAGUGUAGAGGUGAAAUUCGUAGAUAUUCGGAGGAACACCAGUGGCGAAGGCGGCUCACUGGUCUGGAACUGACGCUGAGGUGCGAAAGCGUGGGGAGCAAACAGGAUUAGAUACACUGUAGUCCACGCCGUAACGAUGAUUGUUAGCCGUCGGGCAGUUUACUGUCGGUGGCGCCAGCUACCGCAUAACAUUCCGCCUGGG